AUCCUGUGAUGAAUAAAGUGUAAGAGUAGUGGACAGAAGUGGUUUCUGAAACUUAAUAAUUCUGAGGAU